rnacentral:ncRNA from 1 species
AGGGAAUCCGGUGAGAGUCCGGAACUGACGCGCAGCGGUGAGGGUGACGGCGGGGCAGCAGCCACUGGACGACGGUCACGGCCGGGUCUGGGAAGGCGUCCCGCAGGGAUGAUCCCGAGUCCGAAGACCU